AUUGAACGCUGGCGGAAUGCUCUACACAUGCAAGUCGAGCGGCAGCACGGGGGCAACCCUGGUGGCGAGCGGCGAACAGGUGAGUAAUACAUCGGAACAUGCCCAGUCGUGGGGGAUAACACUUCGAAAGAAGUGCUAAUACCGCAUACGUCCUGAGGGAGAAAGCGGGGGAUCUUCGGACCUCGCGCGAUUGGAGUGGCCGAUGUCAGAUUAGCUAGUUGGUGGGGUAAAGGCCUACCAAGGCAACGAUCUGUAGCUGGUCUGAGAGGAUGAUCAGCCACACUGGGACUGAGACACGGCCCAGACUCCUACGGGAGGCAGCAGUGGGGAAUUUUGGACAAUGGGGGCAACCCAGAUCCAGCCAUUCCGCGUGAGUGAAGGAGGCCUUCGGGUUGUAAAGCUCUUUCGGCAGGAACGAAACGGCGAGCUCUAACAUAGCUUGCUAAUGACGGUACCUGAAGAAGAAGCACCGGCUAACUACGUGCCAGCAGCCGCAGUAACAC
rnacentral:rRNA from 1 species